rnacentral:rRNA from 1 species
CAGUAGCCGCGGGAAUACGGAGGGUGCAAGCGUUAUCCGGAUUUAUUGGGUUUAAAGGGUCCGUAGGCGGAUCUGUAAGUCAGUGGUGAAAUCUCACAGCUUAACUGUGAAACUGCCAUUGAUACUGCAGGUCUUGAGUAUAUUUGAAGUGGCUGGAAUAAGUAGUGUAGCGGUGAAAUGCAUAGAUAUUACUUAGAACACCAAUUGCGAAGGCAGGUCACUAAGAUUUAACUGACGCUGAUGGACGAAAGCGUGGGGAGCGAACAGGAUUAGAUACCCCAGUAGUCCCUGUCUCUUAUAA